rnacentral:rRNA from 1 species
AUGUGGCCAAGCUAACAAGGGUGUACGGUGGAUGUCUAGGCGUAAUGAGGCGAUGAAGGACGCGGUAGGCUGCGAUAAGCUCGGAGGAGCCGUCAAACAGGCUUUGAUCCCGAGAUCUCCGAAUGGGGAAACCCGGCGUCACUGGGCAACCAGAUGGCGUCACGUGCGGCUGAAUGCAUAGGCCGUCACGGGCGAACGCGGGGAACUGAAACAUCUCAGUACCCGCAGGAA